GGGGUAGAUUAGUGCAUUUUGCCUGAUUAGACUAGAAAUAACCCUUGGAUAUGGGAUAUGGACGAGUUUGGAUUUUCUAGCCUUAGCACGCCCGUAUUCCCUCUACUAAAAGGGAAAAUUGAGUCACGAACAUUAGUCCCCCGCACCCGUUAUGAUGCACUCCUUUAAGACAUGUAUAUUUGCAUAAUUAUUUUAUUCCUUUUUCUUUUCUUAGAGUCUCAUAUUUUGCAUUAUUCGUGACUUCUUCGAAGAGUCUUCAUUGG
rnacentral:lncRNA from 1 species